UCCAUAUUUUUUUACAGUCUAUGGUUAGACUACAAAUGUAAAAUUCUCCCCUCUCCCCUGUCCUCUCUCAUCCACUCUCUUCUCCUCCUCUCUUCCUAUUCUCCCAUCUCCUCUCUCCUCUCCUCUGCUCUCCUCCUCCCCUCUCUUCUCUUCUCUUCUCUUCUCUCCUCUCCUUAUCUCUCCUCUCCUCUGCUCUCCUCCUCCCCUCUCUUCUCUUCUCUUCUCUCCUCUCCUCUCCUCUCCUCUCCUCUCUUCUUUCCUCCUCUCUUUUCCUCACCUCUCCUUUCCACCCCACUCUCCUCUCCUCUUCUUCCCUUCUUCUCCUUCCCUCUUCUCCCUUCCCCUCUCUCCUCCUCUCCUCUCCUCCCCCUUUCCUCCCCUCCUCCUCUCUCAUCUCCUCUCCUCCUAUUCUCCCAUCUCCUCUCUCCUCCUCUCCUCUCCUCUCCUCUCCUCUCUUCUCUUUUCUUCUCUUCUCUUCUCUUCUCUUCUCUUCUCUCCUCUCCUCUCCUCUCCUCCCCUCUCCUUAUCUCUCCUCUCCUCUCUUCUUCCUCCUCUCUUCUUUCCUCCUCUCUUUUCCUCACCUCUCCUUUCCACCCCACUCUCCUCUCCUCUUCUUCCCUUCUUCUCCUUCCCUCUUCUCCCUUCCCCUCUCUCCUCCUCUUCUCUCCUCCCCCUUUCCUCCCCUCCUCCUCUCUCAUCUCCUCUCCUCCUAUUCUCCCAUCUCCUCUCUCCUCCUCUCCUCUCCUCUCCUCUCUUCUCUUUUCUUCUCUUCUCUUCUCUUCUCUUCUCUCCUCUCUGUUCUCUCCUCUCCUCCUUUCCUCCUAUUCUCCCCUCUCUCCUCUCCUCCUCUCUUCUCUCCUCUCCUCUCCUCCUCUCCUCCCCUCUCCUCUCCUCUCUUGUCUUCUCUCCUCUCCUCCUUUCCUCCUAUUCUCCCCUCUCUCCUCUCCUCUCCUCUCCUCCUCUCUUCUCUCCUCUCCUCUCCUCCUCUCCUCUCCUCUCCUCUCCUCUCCUCCCCUCUCCUCUCUUGUCUUCUCUCCUCUCCUCUCCACUUCUCUCCUCUCCUCCUCUCCUCCUAUCUCCUCUCCUCCUUUCCACCUCUCUUCUAUCCUCUCCACUCCACUCCUCUCCUUCCCGCUCUCCUCUCCUCCUCUCUCCUCUCCUCUCCUCUCCUCUCCUCCUCUCUCCUCUCUUCUCCCUUCUCUCCUCUCCUCCUCUCUUCUCCCUUCUCUCCUCUCCUCUCUCCUAUCCUUUCCUCCCCUCUCUCCUCUCCUUCUCUCUCUUCUCCUCCUCUCCUCUUUUCUUCCUCUACUUUCCUCCCCUCUCUCCUCUCCUUCCCUCUAUCCUCUCCUCCUCUCUCCUCUCUUUUCAUCCCCUCUCCUUUCCUCCCCUCUCCUUCUCUCUCUCCUCUCCUCUCUCCUUUCUCCUCUCUUCUUUCCUCCUCUCCUUUCCUCCCCUCUCUCCUCCUAUUCUCUUCCUCUCCUUCCCUCUUCUCCCUUCUCCUCUCUCCUCCUCUCCUCUCCUCCCCCUUUCCUCCCCUCUCCUCUCUUUUCAUCCCCUCUCCUCUUCUCUUCUUCCUUCUCUCUUCUUUUCUCCUCUCUUUUCCUCCUCUCUUCUUUCCUCCCCUCUCCUCCCCUCUCUCCUCUCCUCGAUCCUCUUCUCUUCCCCUCCUUUCCUUUUCUCCCUUCCCCUCUCUCCUCCUCUCCUCCUCUCCCCCUUUCCUCCCCUCUCCUCUCUUUUCAUCCCCUCUCCUCCUCUCUCCUUCCUCCUCUUUUCUUUUCUCCUCUCUUUUCCUCCCCUCUCCUUCUCUCUCUCCUCUCCUCUCUCCUUCCUCCUCUCUUCUUUCCUCCUCUCUUUUCCUUACCUCUCCUUUCCUCCCCUCUCUCCUCUCCUCCUUUUCUCUUCCUCUCCUUCCCUCUGCUCCCUUCCCCUCUCUCCUCCUCUUCUCUCCUCCCCCUUUCCUCCCCUCUCCUCUCUUUUCCUCCCCUCUCCUUUCCUUCCCUCUCCUUCUCUCUCCUCUCCUCUCCUUCCUCCUCUCUUCUUUCCUCCUCUAUUUUCCUCACCUCUCCUUCCUCCCCUCUCUCAUCUCCUCCUCUUCUCUUCCUCUCCUUUCCUCUUCUCCCUUCCCCUCUCUCUUCCUCUCCUCCCCCUUUCCUCCCCUCUCCUCUCUUUUCAUCCUCUCUCCUCCUCUCUCCUUUCUCCUCUCUUCUUUUCUCCUGUCUUUUCCUCCCCUCUCCUUUCCUCCCCACUCCUUCCCUCUGUCCUCUCCUCCUCUCUUCUUUCCUUUCCACUCCUCCCUUUUCAGUCUCUCCUCUCCACUCCUCUCUUCUUCUCUCAUCUCCUCCCCUCUCUCCUCUCCUCUGCUCCCCUCUCUUCUCCUCUCAUCUUUCCUCUCCUCUCCUUUCCUUCCCUCUCCCCUCUCCUCCUCUCUUCUCUCCUCCCCUCUCUCCUCCUAUUCUCUUCCUCUCCUUCCCUCUUCUCCCUUCUCCUCUCUCCUCCUCUCCUCUCCUCCCCCUUUCCUCCCCUCUCCUCUCUUUUCAUCCCCUCUCCUCUUCUCUUCUUCCUUCUCUCUUCUUUUCUCCUCUCUUUUCCUCCUCUCUUCUUUCCUCCCCUCUCCUCCCCUCUCUCCUCUCCUCGAUCCUCUUCUCUUCCCCUCCUUUCCUUUUCUCCCUUCCCCUCUCUCCUCCUCUCCUCCUCUCCCCCUUUCCUCCCCUCUCCUCUCUUUUCAUCCCCUCUCCUCCUCUCUCCUUCCUCCUCUUUUCUUUUCUCCUCUCUUUUCCUCCCCUCUCCUUCUCUCUCUCCUCUCCUCUCUCCUUCCUCCUCUCUUCUUUCCUCCUCUCUUUUCCUUACCUCUUCUUUCCUCCCCUCUCUCCUCUCCUCCUUUUCUCUUCCUCUCCUUCCCUCUGCUCCCUUCCCCUCUCUCCUCCUCUUCUCUCCUCCCCCUUUCCUCCCCUCUCCUCUCUUUUCCUCCCCUCUCCUUUCCUUCCCUCUCCUUCUCUCUCCUCUCCUCUCCUUCCUCCUCUCUUCUUUCCUCCUCUAUUUUCCUCACCUCUCCUUCCUCCCCUCUCUCAUCUCCUCCUCUUCUCUUCCUCUCCUUUCCUCUUCUCCCUUCCCCUCUCUCUUCCUCUCCUCCCCCUUUCCUCCCCUCUCCUCUCUUUUCAUCCUCUCUCCUCCUCUCUCCUUUCUCCUCUCUUCUUUUCUCCUGUCUUUUCCUCCCCUCUCCUUUCCUCCCCACUCCUUCCCUCUGUCCUCUCCUCCUCUCUUCUUUCCUUUCCACUCCUCCCUUUUCAGUCUCUCCUCUCCACUCCUCUCUUCUUCUCUCAUCUCCUCCCCUCUCUCCUCUCCUCUGCUCCCCUCUCUUCUCCUCUCAUCUUUCCUCUCCUCUCCUUUCCUUCCCUCUCCCCUCUCCUCCUCUCUUCUCUCCUCCCCUCUCCUAUCCUAUCCUCUCCUCUCCACUCCUCAAUUGUCUCCUCCUUUCCUUUCCUAUCCUCCUCUCUCAUUGUGUACAGCUUAUGUUUGUAUGCUAGGGUUUCUGUUGAACAUGCAGCAGCAGCACAGGAGUCUGCGUUCUGGUUCUUGUGUGUCGCUGCUUCCACCCGCAGUAUCUCAUGGGAGAGCCGUCAUGACGAUGAGCUCCGUUUCCUUGGAAACACGCUUUCUGCUUCCUCUGCUCAACGUGUUUCUGUCACAACUGUGGAAACUGGAUUAAACUGCAGCAAAAAAUAUGAGUUUGAUCAUGUCCCUGUAAUGUCUUUGUGCCGUGCUGAUAAUGAGCAGGUUGUUUCUCCUGUUAAUUCUCAGACACUGAAGCUUUGA
rnacentral:lncRNA from 1 species